GGCUCAGUCGGAACGGCACCCCUCUGCAGGGGCUGGAAAGGUGUCUGAAGGAGCUUCCCCCUGAGCUCGCCCAGCCAGCCCUCUUCGCCAGCCGUCAGCAGCUCCCCAGACAGGCUCCACAGGUGGACCCUGGAGGCAGGGAGGUGGAUGAGGAGGGAGGGAAGGACCCAGCCGGAACAGCACCCCCUUGCAAGGCCUGGAGCGGUGCCUGAGGGAGCUGCCCCAGAACACCCCCAGCCAGCCGUGGUCACCGGCCGUCAGCUCCUCCAUCAGCAGCUCCCCGGACAGGCUGCACAGUUGGACCCCGGAGCCAGGGAGGUGGACCCGGAAGGAGGAAGGUCUCAGCCGAAAUGGCACCCCCUUGCAAAUGGUGCUGGAGGGCUACUCAAAGGAGCUCCCUGGCGCCCCGAGCGGCCACUUCUUCCGCUCUGUGGCCAGCAGCUCUUCCGACGGACAAGGGAAAUUGGGUGCAGGAGAAAGUCCUGCGAAGGAGGCAGGUAAGACGAGGCUCAGCUCCUCAGUCAUGCCCACCCCUAAACGAUUUUGCACCAUUUAUUCCAGAUGCAGCUAGCCGGGGCUUUCCCCCCAUCGUGAUUCCUGCGUUGCAGCGGGUUGGGCUAGAUGGCCCCUGGGGUACCCCUUCCAACUCUGCCAUUCUAGGAUUUUGUGUCUAUAACAGAUUUUACCUGGUUUUCACCUGCUACUCGCCCUUCUCUUCCUUCAGGGAUCCCACCCCUUCAAGGCCUGGAGAAGUGCUUGAAAGAGAUCCCGCUGGGUGGGGUUUCUUGCCCAAACGCCGUUCUUACGGGAAGUGACUUCUCUGCCCAGAAGCCCAGGAGGAUGGAGGCGUCUUUGCAGAGGCUGUGGGACAGAGGCGGCGCCACAAACAGCAUCCUGCCACGUCCCACGAGCUCCUCUGGCUCCGUGGCAGCGGAGGCCGCGGUGGAAGCUUCUCCCCUCGACCGACUGAUGAGUUGCCUGAAGGAGAUCCCCAUUCAGAGGCCGAGUUACCUGAACACGCCCAGCGUCUCCUCGUCCGCCUCCAGCUGCAGCGAGAGCGAGCGCCAGAGCCCCGGGUGCAGCCUCUGGUGGGACUGCGCUCAAGACACAGGAUCGGAGAUGGAAGGGACUUUGCGGCAGAAGGGGAUGGAGUCCAGGCUGCAGAGCGCGUUGCUUGCUCCCGAGGAGGAAAGGGGGCUUCCUUCUGCCCGAGAACCAGAGCUUGUCACCAUGGGCAGCCGAGCGCCAUCGGCCUCCCCUCUCGGUGGCCUGGAGAGAUGCUUAGACAGCAUCGCCAUGAGCCAGCCUCUCCCCUCCAACAUCCCACCUGGUGAUGCCAAGAGUCCGGGCGAUGUGGUACCCAGGAGAUCCCGGCAAGGGGUGGUUGGAUCACAUCCCACAAAUCCUCCAGCAGAUGACAACCUCUCCCACGACCCACAGAUUGGUCCGAAAGAUCCAGCGGCAGCCAGUACCCCGAGUCCUCCCAGCACACCAGCCCAGGACUCCUUCGGUGGAACGCCUGAGAGGAACGUGGAAGGCCGUGUUCAGCAUCCCCAGGCGGAAGCUGCGAGGAAACGGACACCGAGCAGCUCCUGCCUCCAAGGCCUGGCGAAUCUCCUGGCUGAAAGGCCCGCCAACCCUCCUUGUCGCUUCCAUCCGCUCCCCAGCAAGGCCCAGGGCAGCUCGGAGCAAAGGGAAGCGCAGGCGAGCGUCUCUUCGGCCGAGGAAGGUGAGGGUCUCUUCUGGAGCGUCCUGGCGCCAGAGGCCAGGGUAGCUUUUGUAAGCUUCCAAAAUGGCACAUCCAAGUUGACAUGUUUAAUCGGAGAGAAGUCAUGGUCAAGACUGGAAAUAUAUAGACUUUCUUGCGUGAAAGAGAGAAUGAACUUGUGA
rnacentral:lncRNA from 1 species